UGCCUGUACCAUAACCGACACAGGUGGGUAAGUAGAGUAUACUAAGGGGCGCGAGAUAACUCUCUCUAAGGAACUCGGCAAAAUAACUCCGUAACUUCGGGAGAAGGAGUGCCUUAUUCUUAAGGUUGCAAUAACAAGAUCCAAGCAACUGUUUAUCAAAAACACAGGUCUCCGCUAAGUCGUAAGACGAUGUAUGGGGGCUGACGCCUGCCCAGUGCCAGAAGGUUAAAGAAGUCGGUUAGCAAUAGCAAAGCUGGUAACUGAAGCCCUGGUGAACGGCGGCCGUAACAAUAACGGUCCUAAGGUAGCGAAAUUCCUUGUCGGGUAAGUUCCGACCCGCACGAAAGGCGUAAUGAUUUGGAUGCUGUCUCGGAGAGGGGCUCGGUGAAAUAGACUUGUCUGUGAAGAUGCGGACUACCUGCACCAGGACAGAAAGACCCUAUGAAGCUUUACUGUAACUUGAAAUUGAAAUUGGACUUUAUUCGCGCAGUAUAGGUGGGAGGCGUUGAUUAUAAUCUUGUGGGAUUAUUGGAGCCAUCAGUGAGAUGCCACUCUUGUAAUGUUAGAUUUCUAACUUUGAAUCAUUAUCUGGUCAAAGGACAGUUUCAGGCGGGCAGUUUGACUGGGGCGGUCGCCUCCUAAACGGUAACGGAGGCGUACAAAGGUUUCCUCUGAACGGUUAGAAAUCGUAUCUAGAGUGUAAAGGCAUAAGGAAGCUUGACUGUGAGACCUACAAGUCGAGCAGGGACGAAAGUCGGUCUUAGUGAUCUGACGGUACUGAGUGGAAAGGCCGUCACUCAACGGAUAAAAGUUACUCUAGGAUAACAGGCUGAUCUCCCCCAAGAGUUCACAUCGACGGGGAGGUUAGGCACCUCGAUGUCGGCUCAUCGCAUCCUGGGGCGGUAGUACGUCCCAAGGGUUGGGCUGUUCGCCCAUGAAAGCGGUACGCGAGCUGGGUUCAGAACGUCGUGAGACAGUUCGGUCCAUAUCCGGUGUAGGCGCUAGAAUAUUGAGAGGAGCCUUCUUUAGUACGAGAGGACCGAGAAGGACAUACCUCUGGUGUACCAGUUAUCGUGCCAACGGUAAACGCUGGGUAGCUAUGUAUGGAGUGGAUAACCGCUGAAAGCAUCUAAGUGGGAAGCCCACCUCAAGAUAAGUAUUCUCAUCACGUAAGUGAGUAAGGUCACGGUAAGACUAACCGUUUGAUAGGCAUUAAGUGUAAGUACAGUAAUGUAUGUGCUGAGAUGUCCUAAUAGACCGAGGAC
rnacentral:rRNA from 1 species